rnacentral:rRNA from 1 species
AGCGAACGCUGGCGGCAGGCCUAAUACAUGCAAGUCGAACGCACCUUCGGGUGAGUGGCGGACGGGUGAGUAACGCGUGGGAACGUGCCCUUUGGUACGGAACAACUGAGGGAGACUUCAGCUAAUACCGUAUGUGCCCUUCGGGGGAAAGAUUUAUCGCCAUUGGAGCGGCCCGCGUUGGAUUAGCUAGUUGGUGGGGUAAAGGCCCACCAAGGCUACGAUCCAUAGCUGGUCUGAGAGGAUGAUCAGCCACACUGGGACUGAGACACGGCCCAGACUCCUACGGGAGGCAGCAGUAGGGAAUCUUGCGCAAUGGGCGAAAGCCUGACGCAGCCAUGCCGCGUGAAUGAUGAAGGUCUUAGGAUUGUAAAAUUCUUUCACCGGGGAAGAUAAUGACGGUACCCGGAGAAGAAGCCCCGGCUAACUGCGUGCCAGCCGCCGCCGUAACAC